rnacentral:rRNA from 1 species
AUGCCGAGCCGCCCAGUGACUAUCUUAGAUUAUUCAAACAAUAGUUUCUCUUCGGUGCUUCCAAACUUCACUCUCUAUCUUGGCCAAGAGUUCAGGAUUUCUAAAAACAAGAUUAGUGGACACAUACCUGAGUCAGUUUGUGAUUCUACUAUUCGUGUCCUCGACCUAUCUUUUAACAACUUCAGCGGGCAGAUACCUUCGUGUCUAAUAGAAGAUGGUUACAUGAGCGUGUUGAGUUUACGGGAGAAUCGAUUUGAAGGGCAGCUUCCAAGGACACUUACCAAGUGCUUGCAGCUGGAGUUCCUUGACAUAGGAAACAAUAACAUGGUAGGUAUUUUUCCAUCAUAUCUGGGGGUACUUUCCAGACUUCGUGUCCUUGUCAUGAGAUCCAACCGAUUCUAUGGCUCAAUGAGUGGUGCUCUUCACAACGGUGACAAAUCUGGAGAAUACUUCUCUAGCUUGCAGAUUCUUGAUGUUGCCUCGAACAAUUUCUUUGGUAAUUUGAGUCCAGAUUGGACAUUCAACAAGAUCUUGACAACUUUAACAGUCAUUGACCUAUCAAAUAAUUCAUUUGAUGGCACCAUUCCUAGAUCGGUUGGGAGGCUUAUUUCGUUGCAUGUACUAAACAUGUCAGGCAACGCCUUCACGAGUGAUAUUCCGCAGGAAUUUGGUGGGAUGACUCAACUAGAAUCUCUCGACCUGUCUCAGAACCAGCUUUUUGGUGAUAUUCCAGAGGCACUAACAAAUCUCACCUUUCUUGGUAUCUUGAACUUGUCCAACAACCAAUUGGUGGGAACGAUACCUCGGUCAGGUCAAUUUGCUACGUUUGAAAACAGUUCAUUCAAAGGGAAUCUGGGGCUGUGUGGACCGCCAUUGUCCAGCCCCUGUGGCAUUUCACCUGCUCCUCCAAGUACAGCGCACGCAGAUGAUUCGUCUCAUGUUGAUGUGGUCUUGUUUCUCUUCUCUGGGCUCGGCUUUGGCGUUGGAUUUGCAGCUGCCAUUCUGAUGAGAUGGGGUCGAAUCGGCAAAUGGUUUGUUAAAUCUGCAAGAGCUUUGAGGACUUGA